rnacentral:rRNA from 1 species
AGGACGAACGCUGGCGGCGUGCUUAACACAUGCAAGUCGGGCGGUAAGGCCUCUUCGGGGGUACACGAGCGGCGAACGGGUGAGUAACACGUGGGUGACCUGCCCUCAGCUCUGGGAUAAGCCUGGGAAACUGGGUCUAAUACUGGAUAUUCACUUCUCAUCGCAUGGUGGGUGGUGGAAAGUUUUUUCGGCUGGGGAUGGGCCCGCGGCCUAUCAGCUUGUUGGUGGGUGAUGGCCUACCAAGGCGACGACGGGUA